UUUAGAGUUGUGAUCAGGCGAUGGAACUUUAACGAAGCAAAACCCACCUAAAUUUCAAUUUUAUAAAAACGAGCUGAAACUAGCCACCCGAUUGGUUAAAUUACGAAAUUUUUGCCGCGUAUCGUCGCAGAAAUCUAAUAUUGUGCUUCUGCGUAUCAUUUUACGCGUCAUAGGUGCUUCGUGCAUUAGCUUUCGCAAAUUUCUGCAAGCAGGGAACGAGCUGUGCACUGCUCAUUAGCAGGGAAGGUAUUGGGUAGGUUGGUGUGUAUUUUCAGAUGUAACUGAUUUCAUUAUUUUGUUCAGUUAGAUUUAUUGCAAUUAGCUUUUAGUGAGUUAAAGUAAUUAAAUUCAAAGCGGUUAGUUUUUGAAGAGCUUUAUUUAACAGCCUGACUGGUUAUUGAGACUGAUAUUUUAACAUGUCUGAAACGUGACGCCUAUCGCCAUUUUGAAAUUUUUUUACUUUCACAAGAUUUUGUUUUACAGGAUAAUUAUAAAAGCUCCAUGCCAUGAGUUCCGGAAUAUUGGUCUUCCCAGUUCUUAUUCACUCCAGGAUGUAGUUGCAUUUGAAAGAAGCAUCCAGUGGAAACAAACAGCAGAAUGUGGCGUUGAUAGAGAAAGGAUUUCUGAAAAUGAAAUGAUUGGCCAAUAAAUGAAAGAGAGUUAGAGUUCAGGUUGACCAUACCAACAACCAAUGUCUACAAUGGCAUCUUUUUUGGACAAUGUUCUUGAUUUGCUGUUUCCAUCUGUACCUUGCAACAUUAUGCAGUUAAUCUUCAAUCAUUGAGUGGGAGCAACUGGAGAACUGAUACAACUUCUCUGCUAUGGUAUUUCUCCAGGAUUUAGUUUGCUUUUCAUACCUGCAAACUUUGAAACACUAGACUCUACAGUUCAUUAAGAUGGACGUUGGAGAAGACAAAGAUGACCCCGUAGUUGAAACA